AUUGAACGCUGGCGGCAUGCUUUACACAUGCAAGUCGAACGGCAGCGCGGGCUUCGGCCUGGCGGCGAGUGGCGAACGGGUGAGUAAUACAUCGGAACGUGCCCAGUAGUGGGGGAUAGCUCGGCGAAAGCCGGAUUAAUACCGCAUACGACCUGAGGGUGAAAGCGGGGGAUCUUCGGACCUCGCGCUAUUGGAGCGGCCGAUGGCAGAUUAGCUAGUUGGUGGGGUAAAGGCCUACCAAGGCGACCAUCUGUAGCUGGUCUUAGAGGACGACCAGCCACACUGGGACUGAGGCGCGGCCAAGACUCCUACGGGAGGGAGCAGUGGGGAAUUUUGGACAAUAGGCGAAAGCCUGAUCCAGCAAUGCCGCGUGUGUGAUAGAGGCCUUCGGGUUGUAAAGAACUUUUGGCGGGAACGAAAAGGACUGUGCCAAUACCACGGUUCGAUGACGGUACCCGCAGAAUAAGCACCGGCUAACUACGUG
rnacentral:rRNA from 1 species